GAUGAACGCUGGCGGCGCGCCUAACACAUGCAAGUCGAACGAAUAAAGCACCUUCAGUUGUGUAUAUGGUAGCGGACGGCUGAAUAAGACGUAGGUAACCUCCCCCUCUCAUUCAAAUACCCAAAGGCAACCCUAAUUACUACCAAAUACCUCUCUACCUCCACCUUCGGGGCAAGUGUAGCCUUCGGCGGUGGGGGAUGGGGCCGGGCCGUGUUAGCGUGGUGGUGGUGUAACGGCCUCACAAGGCAAUGGGGGGUAGGGGGGUUGAGCGACCGACCAGCCACAUAGGGACUGAGACACGGCCCAGACCCCUACGGGAGGCAGGAGUGGGGAAUCUUGCAAAAUGGGGGGAAGGCUGAUGCAGCGAAGGCGCGGGGGGGAAGAAGGCUUUCGGGUGGUAAACCGGUUUUAGUAGGGACGAGGCGAAAGUGACGGUACCUGAUGAAGAAGCCCCGGCUAACUACGUG
rnacentral:rRNA from 1 species